rnacentral:lncRNA from 1 species
CCCCACAGUCUUGUUUAGAAUAGGAGGAGAACCUCGUCCUGACAUGAGCUGAAACCGACUGUCGGGAACAAGGGGAGGACCUCGUCCUGAUGCAAAAAAAGACUCGGUUGAUCGAUAAGGAGGAAAGCUUCCUCAAUGACUCCUCUACACUCUCAAGAUCCUAUCAAGAGCGGAGGGAAGACCCUCACUCAAACACAGAAAAAAAAGAGAGACGAAAAGAAAAAGCGACGAACUACACCGAUGAUAGGUAAAAAAUGAACUACAUCAAAGGCACC